UGGUGUGUUGGAUAUCCCUUCACUGGUAGCCUGGUAACAUACACUCCCAGGUCUUUCUCUGCCUCUGUGGUGGAUAGUGGAGUGUUUACCAUGUGGUAUUGGUGUGCUGGAUAUCCCUUCACUGGUAGCCUGGUAACAUACACUCCCAGGUCUUUCUCUGCCUCUGUGGUGGAUAGUGGAGUGUUUCCCAUGUGGUAUUGGUGUGCUGGAUAUCCCUUCACUGGUAGCCUGGUAACAUACACUCCCAUGUCUUUCUCUGCCUCUGUGGUGGAUAGUGGAGUGUUUCCCAUGUGGUAUUGGUGUGCUGGAUAUCCCU